rnacentral:rRNA from 1 species
UACGGAGGGUGCAAGCGUUAUCCGGAUUCACUGGGUUUAAAGGGUGCGUAGGCGGGCAGGUAAGUCCGUGGUGAAAUCUCUGAGCUUAACUCAGAAACUGCCAUGGAUACUAUUUGUCUUGAAUAUUGUGGAGGUGAGCGGAAUAUGUCAUGUAGCGGUGAAAUGCUUAGAUAUGACAUAGAACACCAAUUGCGAAGGCAGCUUACUACACAGUUAUUGACGCUGAGGCACGAAAGCGUGGGGAUCAAACAGG